rnacentral:rRNA from 1 species
GUGGGGAAUCUUAGACAAUGGGGGCAACCCUGAUCUAGCCAUGCCGCGUGAGUGAUGAAGGCCUUAGGGUCGUAAAGCUCUUUCGCUGGUGAAGAUAAUGACGGUACCCAGUAAAGAAACCCCGGCUAACUCCGUGCCAGCAGCCGCGGUAAUACGGAGGGGGUUAGCGUUGUUCGGAAUUACUGGGCGUAAAGCGCGCGUAGGCGGAUUGGACAGUUGGGGGUGAAAUCCCGGGGCUCAACACUGGAAUGGCCUUCAAAACUCCCAGUCUUGAGGUCGAGAGAGGUGAGUGGAAUUCCGAGUGUAGAGGUGAAAUUCGUAGAUAUUCGGAGGAACACCAGUGGCGAAGGCGGCUCACUGGCUCGAUACUGACGCUGAGGUGCGAAAGCGUGGGGGGCAAACAGGAUUAGAUACCCGUGUAGUCC